CUGGCUCAGAUUGAACGCUGGCGGCAGGCUUAACACAUGCAAGUCGAGCGGGGAAGGGUAGCUUGCUACCUGACCUAGCGGCGGACGGGUGAGUAAUGCUUAGGAAUCUGCCUAUUAGUGGGGGACAACAUUCCGAAAGGAAUGCUAAUACCGCAUACGCCCUACGGGGGAAAGCAGGGGAUCUUCGGACCUUGCGCUAAUAGAUGAGCCUAAGUCAGAUUAGCUAGUUGGUGGGGUAAAGGCCUACCAAGGCGACGAUCUGUAGCGGGUCUGAGAGGAUGAUCCGCCACACUGGGACUGAGACACGGCCCAGACUCCUACGGGAGGCAGCAGUGGGGAAUAUUGGACAAUGGGCGCAAGCCUGAUCCAGCCAUGCCGCGUGUGUGAAGAAGGCCUUUUGGUUGUAAAGCACUAUAAGCGAGGAGGAGGCUACUUGGAUUAAUACUCUAGGAUAGUGGACGUUACUCGCAGAAUAAGCACCGGCUAACUCUGUGCCAGCAGCCGCGGUAAUACAGAGGGUGCGAGCGUUAAUCGGAUUUACUGGGCGUAAAGCGUGCGUAGGCGGCUUCUUAAGUCGGAUGUGAAAUCCCUGAGCUUAACUUAGGAAUUGCAUUCGAUACUGGGAAGCUAGAGUAUGGGAGAGGAUGGUAGAAUUCCAGGUGUAGCGGUGAAAUGCGUAGAGAUCUGGAGGAAUACCGAUGGCGAAGGCAGCCAUCUGGCCUAAUACUGACGCUGAGGUACGAAAGCAUGGGGAGCAAACAGGAUUAGAUACCCUGGUAGUCC
rnacentral:rRNA from 1 species